UGCAAGUCGAACGAAUCCCAUCUGGGUAACUGGGUGGGGGAAGUGGCGAAAGGGGCAGUAAGGCGUGGGCAACCUACCCCGGGGAUCGGGAUAGCCGUCCUAACGGACGGAUAAUACCGGGCGAUCUGGCGAGGAGGCAUCUUCUGGCCAGGAAAUGAAUUUCGCCUCGGGAGGGGCUCACGUAGUAUUAGCUUGUUGGCGGGGUAACGGCCCACCAAGGCCAAGAUGCUUAGCGGGUGUGAGAGCACGACCCGCGCCACUGGCACUGAGACACUGGCCAGACUCCUACGGGAGGCUGCAGUCGAGGAUCUUCGGCAAUGGGCGCAAGCCUGACCGAGCGACGCCGCGUGUGCGAUGAAGGCCUUCGGGUUGUAAAGCACUGUCGAGGGGGAGAAAAGCCCGCAAGGGUCUAAUCUAUCCCUGGAGGAAGCACGGGCUAAGUUCGUGCCAGCAGCCGCGGUAAGACGAACCGUGCGAACGUUGUUCGGAUUCACUGGGCUUAAAGGGCGCGUAGGUGGACGGUCAAGUCGGGGGUGAAAUCUUUCAGCUUAACUGGAAACGUGCCUUCGAUACUGAUCGUCUCGAGGGAGGUAGGGGCAUGCGGAACUUCCGGUGGAGCGGUGAAAUGCGUAGAUAUCGGAAGGAACGCCGGUGGCGAAAGCGGCGUGCUGGACCUCUUCUGACGCUGAGGCGCGAAAGCCAGGGGAGCGAACGGGAUUAGAUACCCCGGUAGUCCUGGCCCUAAACGAUGGGUACUAGAUUGUGGACUUAACAUGGGUUCCCAAUCGAAGCUAAAGUGUUAAGUACCCCGCCUGGGGAGUAUGGUCGCAAGGCUGAAACUCAAAGGAAUUGACGGGGGCUCACACAAGCGGUGGA
rnacentral:rRNA from 1 species